rnacentral:lncRNA from 1 species
CAUUCAGGCCAGUGUCUUUAUCUAACGUGAUCCCGUGGAUACGCGAGCCGAUAAGACUCGUGCACGGAAUAAACGAAUCGAGUGGUGGCUUUGAUCGACCCGCAGGAUAUAACCCGGAUACAACGUCUCAUGUGUACGGCAAGAAAUUGAUGUUCCAAGGCUGCCUGUCUUACCUCCCCUGUUAUCAAUCCCGGAUCAACGACAAGAACAGCGCAUAAAGAAAAGCUAGUUCCAUUAAGAAAUAGUUUCUUUCUUACGUAACAGUGUAAUAUCGUGGACAAAAGGCCUAAGAGAUAUCGGGUGAACCACAAACAGUGUCGUGCGAAAGCCAAGGUGCCAACAGGCCCAUCGAUGUGUCGUCGUUCCUUCGUGAUCCUGGCCACGAGCGAUUGCGGAACACGUGCGUGGUGGAGCUAAGACAAAAGACAAAGGGAUGCUAAGGGACAUAGACGAAUUAACAGUCAGUGUCAGUGGAGAAGACGGAGAGUGCGAAUUGCAUUGUCGAGAGAGCGUGAUCCGUGAUGACGAGAGUUGCGAAUUAACUAUCUAGUUGUCUUAAUUAUAGCACGUUUUACAACCAUACAUUUAGUUCACGUUAAACAACCAUCGUUUCCUGUUUAAUCAACAUCUGUACAACCCUUAAUUAUUAAUAAAUUAAUUAUAGUAUAAGAUGUUGAGGAAAUAUUAGGUUGGUAUGAUCACUAGUUCCUACAUGCUAAGUUGGUACGACUUUUAACGACGCUCCUUUGUCUUUGGCGUUGGCCACGUGUUAAUUAUCUGAAUGUAUUCGGUGUGUUCAUAUGGCUGUAUAUGGUGGUGAAAUACAGAACGUAAAAACUGAAUCUGUGUGAAUCAAUAAAUAUCAAACUUCAAAACCUAUUUAAUGACAUAAGAUCCUACAAUAGAUUUUGUAUUUUCUCGAAAUGAGCGAUUUCUCGUCAUUCAUGUCACAGCAACAUCGAACGACUGUAUUUCGGGAUCAAUGUACGUACAGUGUAUCUUGCGAAUCUGGUGAUAUUGUUCGUAACACUACGUGUGUUACGCGUAUGCUCGACGCGACACGCGUUUCAUUGAAAAUCAAACGGACGAUUUUCACGAUAUCUGUGAACGCAUGCGUGUUAUUUUAAUUGAAUGACCUGUGUGCCGAGAUCAAUAUAAGCGAAGUUAUUACGAUUGAUGAAACAACCGGACCGAUUGAAGAUUCAACAAGCGCGACGAUGAUCGAGAACAGAUGUGAACGAUAGAUCCGAAAGAGUAAACUACACGAAAGGAGAUCUCGAGAGAUACAGUGGCUCGCGAAAGUGUCUCAGCUCUUGUGGAAACUCUCUAUGAAUUAUAGACGCGUUAUGAAAGAUUCUGAAAUUUCCCUGACGCUCUAACAAAAUCAUGAUCGUAUUGGUGAAGUUUCAAAGGAAUCUGAAAGUGAAUAUGAAAGUUGCUUCACAAAGAUCACCAAAAUAUCGUAUUUGAGAAGGUCAAUUUUAAUCGUUACAUUGGUAAACCACGGUAUUUAACGAGACUAUAUAUUUGCAAUAAAAGUAUCUUGCAGUUUCUAGGGACAUUUUCAGAUUGGUUUCGACGUAAUCGUGACACUGGUGUUUCGUUAUAAUGAUAACGAAAUUUCAAAAUGAUCCGCAUAAUACACGCAACAUAGGCGUAACACGUGAUACAUUCUAAUACACAAUGCGAAAUAGUUACGUUGCAAUGAAAUUUGCUAAAUGAAAUUUCGAAACGUUUUAUACGAUACACAUAAUAUACGUAACAUCAUUACACGUGAUAUGCGAUACGUUUCAAUCGUAAUACGCGUUAUAUAAUACGAGUUAUAAAUUGACCAAUAUUAUCACGAUAAUGGCGUCUCGUUAGGCUGCUAAUAAAAUUUCAAAACGUUUCAUACAACGAGUAAAAUUUGCCUCUGGCAAGCGUUGAAAUACUUUCCUGAGCCGCUGUAAACGACCAAGAAAAGGAUUAGUCAGUCGGGCCUAGAACACGGAGAUACGAAGCCGAAGAAGUGUCAGGGACGCCGAUCGGAGAACCACGCUCCUUUCGAAUUCACUGUUCUCGCGAUACGACCGAUCGAUCGAACGAAGCUCGCUGAGCCUGGAGACCUAAAUCUCGGUGAAAAUCCACCCUUACAUUCAGCCGCCUCCGCUCUUUCUUUUCCUUUCGUUGCGGCUGUUCUUUUCGCAAUCUCCAGGAUUUCCUAUGCUUAUCGAUGAUUCAUUGCGUUCCACGCGAUCGCGGCAUGGCCACGCGAGAUCGACGAAUAAAUACCGAGCAUAAAUGUCACGGCAGAAGCACCUUCUUUCGUCCCACGAAUUGUAUUCCCUUCGGACUUUGCCAUGGUUUUCAUGCAAAUAGCGAAAUCCUCGAACUUACUCCUAAAGUCGUAUCGAGCGGAAUUCUGGCCCGAAGACAAAUUCCAGCGCGCGGUAGCACAGAGUUGGGAGAUUUUCCGGGGAGUAGGCGCAUCGGCAACAACUCGGAGGAAUCUCGCUGGCGUGGAAUAAAAUUAACGUCCGGCUGGAACAAUUUUACGGGGCCACUUUACACGAACGAAAUUUACGUAUCGCUAUCGUUCUCAAGUAUUUGAACAUCUGCACGAUGUUUCUCUACCGUAGAUCCUCUAGCUCUUGCCAUAACCGAGAUAAAAUAUUAUACUAUCGCUAAGUUGAAACUGGAGCAAGAAAUACGGCUGGAUCCUUUUACGUACGUAACGAAUGCUUAAUACACCUAUAUAUGUUAUCUCGUGAAACAUGUAUGAAUUUUUUAAACGUGACUAAAAAUACGUAUUUCUAUCCCUAGCAAAAUACCAACGUCGAACAAACAGGCUUAAUGUCGCUUGAUACAAACACCAGCGAUUUCUAUCUGCUCCCAAUUACUCUUUCCGUCGAGAAUACAAAUAUCGUGUAUUUAUACCGAUCGAUCUUAACUAUGGAUUUCAUCGAUAUCUACCAACUGUGCUACACGAUUGCCUGAGACAAGAUCAAAAUCAAAAUUGAACGAAACAGUCUCGUCUGAAUUGUAUUCGCGUCUACGAUCGUUCCAGCAUCCGCGUUCUUGUAGUUGCUAGCGUGAUUCCACUGGGACAGAAAUUUCGUCGUAAGGACGAGCGAUGAAAGGUUCGAAUGCGUGCGAAGAAGAGCGAUGCCAGGGAACCAGGGCAGUCGAAGGCGAAGAACAAGGACAAGUCCGCGUCGCGACUCGUUGGAAAGUCGCAACGAGACAUCCGCAGCGCUCGAAACACGCGAUGAUUCCUAUUACUUCCGCCUAUCUAACGAUGCAUCGGUAACCUCUGUCAGCUGUUUCUCAUCGAUGCCUGGAAUCUCAUUUACCGAACGCUUAAUAGACAAUCAGCCGGCCGAAGCGACCGGGCAAAUUGUUUCGAUCGACUGCCACUUCCGGCGGCAUUCGACGCUGUCGAAGAUUGCCUCGUUGACGCUUCUGUCAUUCGAUUAUUUUUCACCCGUUUGUAAUGGAGUUCGGCCUCGCGUCGUUGACGACGUGCCGCAUCGAAAAGAAGAGGAAGAAAAGAGGUCAUCGGGCUCCAGGAUCGGACAAUAUCGACGAGGAGGAAACGAAAGAACGGAGCGUUGUUGCGGGGCCGACGUGAAUCGUUUCGUUGGAUGUCGCAUCCGGCUCCAUCGCCGGUGUCCGCGAAAUUACCUAAUCGAUGACUGCCGGACAUCUGCGUUCUGUUUCUGUCUCUUUGCGAUCGUGCUGCGUUGAUCGAGUUCGCUGUUUUCACGAGUACAGUCGUCACGAAGAAAUGGCAAUGCUUUCUCUUACGACGAGUAUACUCGUCGGGCGUAAAAAGUAAUUGCAACUUGCUGUUUAAAUUGCAGUUUAGUCAUUGCAUUAAUAACAUUGGCAAAUAAAACGGUCGUUUCAUUACAACUUAAUUCUAUGUUAUAACAGCCACGCAUACGCGCGUUUGACUGUCGAGUAUACUCGCCAUCGCUUUCUUCUUCCCAAACGUUUUAGGCACACGCUUUUCAAAGAGACUGGUUAGUCGAAGAUGAAACGAAUGAACAACGUGCGAUGAAUUACGUUUCUAGUCUUUUGUGAGACAGCGUUUUUAACUACUUCAGGCUACUGCCAAGUUGAUCGAUCCGUGUUAAUAAAUUUUUGUAAAACUGUUAAAGCGAGACGAACGUAACGAACCAAAAGGUUUUCAAUUUCGAACGCGGAUGAUUCAGGUAACAUCGUCGGAGAGAAAGACGUAUAUGCGAUGUAAUAUUUCGCAAAAAUUAAACGUUAUGACGUAGUAGAUAUAUUCCGAUCUAUCGUGGCUCAUGAAAUAUAUCAAAUGGCUUGGGGCUUGCAAAACAUAAAAUUCGCGCGAUCCUGUUUUAUAACGGUACAAGUUAUGUAACAGUAUGCUAAAUCGAAAGUAAUGUCAACGUUAUCGAUUCCGCAUUAUAUAUUUAACAUCCGGAAUAGAAAUCUCACUUUCGGAAAUUAAUUUAUCUCAAGAGGAACAAUGCGAAAUUCCAAAGUAGACUUUCGAAAAUAGCGUUCGUAAUUGUCACUUUUCUAUGCGUUCCAAUUUAUCGAGUUAAUCGGCACAGCUUCUAAUUGCCAGGACCCGUUCAUCCGAACGUUAGUCUGUCGCGCAUUCGUUACAACCAUGACCGAUCCGAUAAUACGAUUUAUAAAACGCUCAACGACAAUUUUAUUUCACCAAGCGAAUAUAAAAAUGACUUUAGCAUAAAAUUCAGAGAUUGUCAAAGCGAUAAGCUUUUUACGAUGCGCUUUCGGAGGCUGAUUUUUCUUCUUCUUCUCCUUUUUUCUUCGCGUUACCCGUAUAAAUGACUGCGUCAUCUUACCGGUAUUCCCAUUUCUUUGAAAACGAUCAAUUAGAUCGAGGUCGAUCGAACGAUAGACAUGGAACCAUUGCAUCCGGUUGCAAACGGGAAACCGUGGCAGCAGGAAGCUUAGAAACGUCAACGAGCGUGCGAGUAGAUGCGACUACACCGUGUCUGAAUCAUUUAUCGGACAAUAGUAGUAUAACGCGAUGAUUAAGCAGACGUGUCGCUGCAUCCAAUUCGUACUCCUUGCAGGUUGGAAUUAUACCAAGAUGAUAUCGCGUGAAGUUGAAAUUCUAACGUAAACCACGUCUCUGUGAGACGAGCAGAGACGCGAGCCUCUGUCACGUGUUUGCCAAUCUUUGCCGGGACGGUGUGUACGACUUUAUUACGUCUGAAUUUCCUAGCAAACGAUGAGACUCGUUUAUACUUUCUUGUGUAUCUUUGUUAACUUACGUGUAUACGAAGGAACGAUUUUUAUUCGCCAACCGACGACAAAAUUCACGACCCAACAAACGGCAAAGUAUCAGGAAACGAAUUGUUUAGGCCGCUGUCGAAGUAAACGCGAAAGCCGUUGCGCGCCACGAUUUAUCGUCUAAUAAUAUCGGUACGUUGACAAGUUAUAAAUCGUGAAAUUAUAGACUCUCUUUUUACGAUUUUUGACAGACAAGACGAUCGGAUAAUCUGUGUAAUUUCUAACAUUCGCUCGUCCAAUUGCACUAGCCCUGCUCGCGCGAGCUUUUCGCUAUUCUCCUUAUCCCGACGUAUGAUCUGUAUUCGAAGGAAUCUCAGUGACGCCAGGAAGAUUCCGUGAACGUUGCGGUCUUUGUAAAAGUUAUCUCGGAACCUACCCUGCCGAUUAUACACAACGAUAUUAUACGCAAAGAUGUAUAACCUUCGCCUAAAUAAAAGAAAACCCUGAUAAGGAAGAAGAAGAAAGGAAAUUUUAGCCGGGAAACAGAGGAAUCUCAGUUGCGUGGUAGAAAUGUUACCUCGGCAUCGUUGGAAAAUCGAACGGCGACAAAGAGGAAGAAAGGAAAUUUUGUCGCAAAAAAAACCAGGUCGAGAAGAAAUUGCGAGCAAAGAAAAAGGCGCGAAAUACAGUUGCCAGGGGAUCGAAGAAAACAGAACGCUCGCGGUGAAAGGUUCGAAAGGAGAAAAGUGACCAUCGACGACGUUAGAUUCGAGCGAGAGAAGAAAUCGACGCCAGGGGCCGGUAGAUAAGCGUCCGUUGAAGGGACAGGCUAUAUAGUACAUAGGGUAGGGAUAGAGUAUAGGUAAAAAGGUACAAGGGAACGUUUGUUCAAUUUCUACGGGCAAACGAGAGAGGGAUAAAAGCGGUGGAGAAUUGCGAAAUGCUUGGCCCGCAUUCGCAGUAGUUCCAGUCGUCCAUUGUCCGCGUGCACAAUGGGAAUCUUUCUAGCGACGCUUGUUGCUCGGAUGCUAGCUGACUAAACUUUGCCCGCCGACCACGUGCGUCCUGCACACCCCGCAAUUUCGCGCACAAACAGACAUGUAUACAAGACGUGUAUAUCGUUGCAGAGGGAAGAAGGAGGCAGAAAUACGUAGAGACAGACGCGUUGGUCGUGUGGUAGUCGGUAUCCAUGCAAGCACACUGUGAUUCGCCUGGGGAUAGGUCAAUCAAUGACCUAUUUAAAACGCCUUCGGUCUGACCUCGCGCACUCUAUCUCCUACCGCUAUGGUACGCCGAACCGAGACUCGCAGUUUAUGUACGAGUUUAACUUUCCUCGUAUUCUCGCUUCGAUCUCUGUGCCUUAUUUUUUUUCUCCUUGCGAGAACGACGUACGCGUGCUAAUGUAGAGAAUACCGAAGACUAGUUGACUUAGAAAUUAGAGGAGAACAUUAUGCGUUGGCUAUGUAGCAAUUUAUAUAGGAAUAUUUGGUUAUAGUUGUUGAAUCGAUGAAACGGUAAAAUUAUUAAAAGCUGCCUGUAUUCCAUUUCGAAUAAAUCGAUUUUCUACGAUCUUCUCGCGGCCAGCAUUCGCUCUCUCCGCCACGUUGCUCUUCUUUUCCUAUUAAUUAGGAUUAGUUAAAUGCAAAAAUAUGCUAUCGCGUAUUGCCUAUGUAUAUAUAUGUACAUAUUGAAUAAUAUAUAUAUAUAUAUGUUGAUAUAAUGCAACGAUUAAUUAUAAGACGAAACAGCAGAUUCGAAUUUGUAUCGUACAUUUAAAAUUUGAAAUGCUGUCGAAUUUCGCCUAGCCAACACUGUCGUAUCGGAUAAUUUCUAUUCUUGGUCGAACGUCAUCCGGAUGUGUUAAAAAGAAGUGCGAUCCCUCGUUUGAUAUGCGCGUUUAGAUCAGCCGUCAAUAUAACUGCGAAAAAGCCGAUGUAUUUGGGAAAAUCGUACAGGAAACUGACAAAACACAGACGAUAUUUCAUUGAGAAACCACGGCACAUAUAUAAUAGAAACAUCAGUAUCGACGAAUAAACGAAACCUUCACGAUGAAUAUGUGUUCAAAGUUAAUGCUUUGUGUAGCUUCUCGAUCUUCUUUUAUCUCGAAGCUUAACAGGACUAGCGUGCUAUUACGUGUAUAGAAUAAAUCGUGCUAUAGUGAUAGUGAGAUUGGUAUAAUAAUACAGUGGCUCGUUUCGCCUCGUGUACGAAAUGCCACUCGCUUUUUAACGAGUAUUAAUUAUGACAGAGAUACGAACCAUGAGAAAAUAGGAGAAAAUUCAUUAGGAUCGAAAAAUCUAAGAAUAAAACGUAUAUUACUUUUUAAUCGGCGGAAAAUAUACGAAGUAGUAGAAAAAGCCGAGCUGAUACUUUAGAAAUUCUUACCAUAGAAUUUCGUAGAAAUGGAACGAUUAAUAUUAAUUAAAAUCCCUAAGGUUCUCGUUCUUUUGUCACCCUCGAACGACAUAAACGAGUAAAAUUAAAAUAAUUGUCCACGCCUGGUUACAUUUCGUUUCACGUUGAUAGAAUUAUGUAAAGGAGCCCGGUGAUCUGAAAUAUCCACUGAAAUUAUAUGCCGGGGCCCCGACAGAACGCCGAAAGAACGAUACAGCAAAACGUGUAUGCAAGAAUUGGAAAUAAAAAGCUAACUAACUAACGUUGUAACCAAUAAAUGUAAACGACACGCAGGAACCCUGGAAAUGCUGCAAGUCCGUAAUAAAGAUGUUUUACGAACGCGAUGGAAAAAAGAUGGAGACGCGUUCGUGAUAUUCGGUGGGAGAGAAUUCUUCGGUUGGGCGCGUGGCUUUUCUUAGAGGAGAAAAUAAAUCCCAAACAGAAGCUCUAGCCAUGUUCUCGGAUGUUACACGGUAGUACGGAUAGCGUGCAAUGAAACUUACUUAUUUCGUCUCGCGGGCUGGAAUAAUCUUGGACAAAGCGGUUUUCUCACAGGCAAAAGCGGAAUAAAAAUAACGAUAUCACCGUUCGGUAAACGA